rnacentral:tRNA from 1 species
GGGCCCGUAGCUCAGCAUGGUAGAGCGACCGGCUCAUAACCGGUCGGUCAAGGGUCCAAGUCCCUUCGGGCCCA